GCUUUGGUGUUUUUAGUGUAUUAAGCGGAACCACACUGAUCCAUCUCGAACUCAGUUGUGAAACGUUAUAAAUCGACGACAAUACUUGAAGGGGGACCUUCUGGGAAGAUAGUUCAAUGCCAAAGUUUUUAAUUUCCCCAGUUUUUCCG
rnacentral:rRNA from 1 species